GACUACAAUCAUCACUACACACUGGA
rnacentral:misc_RNA from 1 species